GACGAACGCUGGCGGCGUGCUUAACACAUGCAAGUCGAACGAAGUGGCGAACGGGUGAUUAACGCGUAAUCAACCUGCCCUUCAGGGGGGGACCACACUUGGAAACGACUGCUAAUACCGCAUACUGAAGGCGGGGAUUGCGUCUGAUUAGCUAGUUGGAGGGGUAACGGCCCACCAAGGCGAUGAUCAGUAGCCGGGCUGAGAGAAUGAACGGCCACAUUUGGACUGAGACACGGCCCAGACUCCUACGGGAGGCAGCGGUGGGGAAUGUUCCGCUAUGGACGGAAGUCUGGCGGGGCAACUCCGCGUGGGUGAUGACGGCGUUCGGGUUGUAAAGCUCUGUUAAGCGGGACGCGGUACCGGAAUAGAAAGCCACGGCUAACUACGUGCCAGCAGCCGCGGUAAUAC
rnacentral:rRNA from 1 species